GAUGAACGCUGGCGGCGUGCCUAACACAUGCAAGUCGAACGAAGCAUGCCGGAGGAAGUUUUCGGAUGGAAUCCGGGAUGACUGAGUGGCGGACGGGUGAGUAACGCGUGGGUAACCUGCCCUGUACAGGGGGACAACAGUUAGAAAUGACUGCUAAUACCGCAUAAGCGCACAGGACCGCAUGGUCCGGUGUGAAAAACUCCGGUGGUACAGGAUGGACCCGCGUCUGAUUAGGUAGUUGGCGGGGUAACGGCCCACCAAGCCGACGAUCAGUAGCCGACCUGAGAGGGUGACCGGCCACAUUGGGACUGAGACACGGCCCAA
rnacentral:rRNA from 1 species